GUUGUAUAGGAAAUGAAAAAAAUAUUUUGAGUUGUUCACAUAGAGAAUGGGGAUCACAUAAUUGUACACAUAAGGAAGAUGCUGGUGUACAAUGUUCAGCUUUCAACUCUGUUAGACUUCGGGGACCAAGAAGUUCUAUUGGCAUAGGUCGUGUGGAAGUAUUUUACAAUGGUGAAUGGGGAACAAUUUGUGAUGAUGGCUGGGACUUAAACGAUGCUAAAGUUGUUUGUCGACAACUUGGUUAUGACUAUGCUGUCAGGGCUUUACUAGGAGGUAAUGUUCUACAUGGCAGUGGAAGAAUAUGGUUAGACGAAGUUCGUUGUGUAGGAAA